UGGGGGAUCGGCCAACGGCAGGCCCCCGGACUUUGAAUCCGGUGAUGGAGGUUCGAAUCCUCCUCCCCGAA
rnacentral:tRNA from 1 species